rnacentral:rRNA from 1 species
AUUGAACGCUGGCGGCAGGCCUAACAAAUGCAAGUCGAGCGAGCGGAGGACGGGUGAGUAAUGUAUGGGGACUGCCCGAUAGAGGGGGAUAACUACUGGAAACGGUGGCUAAUACCGCAUACUAUCGGAUAACCCAUAUGGGAUUAGCUAGUAGGUGGGGUAAAGGCGCACCUAGGCGACGAUCUCGAGCUGGUCUGAGAGGAUGAUCAGCCACACUGGGACUUAGACACGGCCCAGACUCCUACGGAUGCAGCAGUGGGGAAUAUUGCACAAUGGGCACAAGCGUGGGACAGCCGUGCCGCGUGUAUGAAGACGGCCUUAGGGUUGUAAAGGACUUUCAGCUGGGAGGCGUUACCCGCAGAAGAAGCGCCGGCUAACUCCGUGCCAGCAGCCGCGGUAAUUC